UAGCCAUUCUUCCAGCUUUGGAAUUGAAAAAGAGCAGAGGAGUGUUUGCGAUUUCCGCAACGGUCACAUUGGCCUUCUUCUCCUCCGUUUGAUCUUCCUCUUCUUCUUCUUACGGGAAAGAGAAGCAGCAAGACUUAAAACUGCAAUCAGAGGGCCAUUGCUCGCCAAAUGGCUAAGGAAUCAACGGAACUUGCUGAGGAGGAUGAACGCCUGGAACUCAUGGAGUUCGCUCUGUCCAGCAAGGGAUUACCGUCAAUAAUGUCUCUUCAUCACGAAACUUUACAAUAUCUGGAGUUAUUUAAAAGUUUGAGAGAAUUAGACAAAAGGAAGCACUGUGCAGGAAAAGAUAAGUAGCAAGACUUAAAAAAGCUGCCAAUCAGAGGGUCGUUGCUCGCCCAAUGGCUAAGGAAUCAGAGGAUGAACACCUGGAACUCAUGGAGUUCGCUGUGUCAAGCAAGGGUUACCUUCAAUCAUGUCUCUUUACAAAAUCUGGAGUUAUUUAAAGGUUCAUGUUUCUAUUAACUUCCUUUAUUGUUUAAAUUCAUUGACUAUCAAGAAUGUUCUUCCCCUUGCACGAAGUGACCGAGAAUAACUUGUUUACCUUUUUACACGUGAUUACUUGUGGCCUUUAAUUUAGGUGUUCUAUUUGUUUUCGUUCUUUUAGCAUUGAUUGAGAGUGGAAUUUGUGAGAUUGUUUUGCUGCCAAUUUAAGUUACCUUUUUUGUAGUUAUUUGAUUUUCUAUUUUGAAGUUAACUUACUUGAGAAAAUUGACCUGAAGAAACCGUUCAGAAAAAUGAAUAUUUGUGUAGGAAAUGAUCUAUGAUAUGAAUGUUGAACUGCUAUGUGUAUUUCUAGGCGUGGUAGUUCUUGGCCUUUGGCCUUUUACUCUUGAUGAGUUUCUUCAGCUUUUCACGAUCACAUAAGUUCUUGUCUUAAAAUUUUCUUUAUCUGUAACCUGACUUUUGAAUCUGCCUUGUGAUACUUAUCAUUUAUUGCCCCUACAAUGUUUCACUUGAUGUGAUCGUUAUCCGUUUUGCGUUUUACUCUGGAUGUUCUCGUUAUUCGUUUGGAUCAUCUUAUAUGCCUCGGUCUGCAAGUUGUGUCUAAGUGGGUGCACGACCAUGAGGGUACUUGAACUAUAAGUAGAUGGAUGCAUUUUUUAGGAAAUGAAUUAUGUACGAAAUCGAGGUGGUGUACAAUUUUUUUUUUUAUAUAGAAAAUAGUUCAUACAAAGAAUGGAUGUUCUUUGCAUGCUUUCAGUUGACAGGUAAUGAAUAACUUCUAAUUCAUUUCAUCUGUCUGUUUAUUUCCUCGGUCAUGGGAUACACCUCCAAUAUCAUUGACUGCUGGCUGUGAUUUGUUCAUGCGGUAUGUAACUGGAACAUCGGCUUUGGAAAAUGAGGAUUUCAAGUCUGCUAAGUCUCACCUGAUUGAACGUGCAGAAAAGUUCGGAGAGAUAUCUGGCACGGAGAAUUAUUGCAAUGCUCAGCCAAUACUUCAUUUUUUAUGGUUGUUAUGGAAGUUCUGAGAUUAUUGGGUGAAGUACACGUUGUUGUUCUAGAACAUAAACUCCUUUACAGGCACAGAGAAUUGUUGGCCAUCUGCGAAUAAUUGAAGGGGCAUAUGCUUCGGGUUUUGACAUAUGCAUCUGACAGCAACAAUUAAAUCCUUUAACAUGGCCUGAGAUACUUAGACAGUUGGCCUUAUCAGCAGGGUUUGGUCCGAAACAGGGGAAAGGGGGGAAUGCUGAACCCAACAUAUCAUCAUGUUGGAAAUGAGGGGAGAUCAUGUGAAUUUCUUGUUCCUCAGAUUUUAAUUCCUAUUGCUUUCGAUUCUGCUUGGGCUGCUUAAAUUUUGGACAUCAAUUUCUGGAAACUGCUCGACAUUGAAUUGAAUUAUUGAAAAUAUUUGGUAGGAAUGGUGUAGCAACAUUGAUUCACCAUCCAGAUGCAGCUUCCUGAGAAGACAGCUCAAAUGUUGAAUCAGCAAGAAACAAUCAACUUUUAGUUAUACUAGUUACUAAACUUUGUGUAUAUAUUGAUAAAUACAGGACAGUAUCUCAUAUUUCAUCCUUUCGCACUUACCGCUUGUUUGUACAAUAUUGA